UAUCCCAACCACUGUCCCCACCACUGUCACUACUCCUAGCCACACCACCUCCACUACUCCUAUCCCAACCACUGUCCCCACCACUGUUACUACUCCUAGCCACAACACCUCCCCUACUCCUAUCCCAACCACUGUCCCCACCACUGUUACUACUCCUAGCCACACCACCUCCCCUACUCCUAUCCCAACCACUGUCCCCACCACUGUUACUACUCCUAGCCACACCACCUCCCCUACUCCUAUCCCAACCACUGUCCCCACCACUGUCACUACUCCUAGCCACACCACCUCCACUACUCCUAUCCCAACCACUGUCCCCACCACUGUUACUACUCCUAGCCACACCACCUCCCCUACUCCUAUCCCAACCACUGUCCACACCACUGUUACUACUCCUAGCCACACCACCUCCCCUAGUCCUAUCCCAAUCACUGUCCCCACCAAUGUCCCUUCUACUAUUCCUGCUGCUUCUUCUACUUCUCUACCCAGGACUGACCCUACUGCUGUUUCCCCUAUUGUCCCUUCAACUGUCCCCACCACUGUUUCCACCACUGCACUUCCUACUGUUCCCACUACUGCCCUUACUGCUGUUUCCCCCAUUGUCCCUUCCACGGUUUCAACAAUUGUCCCUACCACUGUCCCUUCUAGUAACCCCACCACUGCUAUUCCUACUGUCCCCACCGCUGUACCCACUGCUGCUUCUUCUACUGCUUUCCCCACCACUGUCCAUCCGACUGUGCCCACCACUGCCCUUCCUACUACACCCACCAUUUUCCCUACAGCUGUCCCCACCACUGUCCCCACUGCUGUCCCCGCCACUACCUCCACCACAGCAUUUAUGGAACUACAUGUAAAAAUGUGUGUCCAUCUUCAGGGGUAUUGUUGCAUCAGCAACUGAAGACCAAGAGAAAAAUCUGGAGGUGAUGUUUGAAUCGCUGUCAGUGCCCGGUGAAGUGAAGGUCACAAAGCCUGGUAGUUUCCCAAUGAAAAUGUCACUUAUCCAUUUCUAGUACAGAAAUCAAUCUGGACACAUGAGCGUGGAUUUGAAUCAAUGGUACGUGUGAGUACAAGAAAACAAUGAUUGGAAUACAAUGUGCUUAAGUUUGCUCAGAUGAUAGGGUCCAGCUGAAGAUCAGAGGAAUAGGAAAGGAUUUUUCAAUGUGUGUGUUUUAAAUAAAUUCUUCCAGUAUCCAUUGCAGGUGACCAUUUUAAGAUAAAGUAUUUCUUUCUUUUUGUUUAGUUUUUCUUUUGUUGGUGUCUUGCAGUAGAAAUUUUCAUCCAG
ensembl:lncRNA